UUUAAGUGUUGUUGUGGGUUUCAGUAUUCAACGUUUGACCGUCCGUCUUAUUGAUAAAAAAAGUUAUGAUUAGUAUUUUUAUUGUUAUUAGAUGAUAAAACAUGAAUGAUACUUUAUGCGUGACUUAUUUUUUUAAAACUUUACAUAAUUUUUUCAAAUAAGAUAGACAGUCAAACGUUGGAUACUGAAACCCACAACUGCAUUUAAA
rfam:Oryza punctata chromosome 4, whole genome shotgun sequence.